CACGGAGUUAGCCGGAGCUUAUUCUCCAGGUACUGUCAUUAUCAUCCCUGGUAAAAGAGCUUUACAACCCUAAGGCCUUCAUCACUCACGCGGCAUUGUUGGAUCAGGCUUUCGCCCAUUGUCCAAUAUUCCCCACUGCUGCCUCCCGUAGGAGUCUGGGCCGUGUCUCAGUCCCAGUGUGGCUGAUCAUCCUCUCAGACCAGCUAAGGAUCGUCGGCUUGGUAGGCCUUUACCCCACCAACUACCUAAUCCUACGCGGGCUCAUCCUUUGCCGAUAAAUCUUUGGUCUUACGACAUCAUCCGGUAUUAGCAGUCAUUUCUAACUGUUAUUCCGAAGCAAAGGGCAGAUUCCCACGCGUUACGCACCCGUGCGCCACUAGACCCGAAGGUCUCGUUCGACUUGCAUGUGUUAGGCAUGCCGCCAGCGUUCGUUCUGAGCCAGGAUCAACUAC
rnacentral:rRNA from 1 species